rnacentral:rRNA from 1 species
UAUCUCUGUAGAGUCUGCAUAUCAAUAAGCGGAGGAAAAGAAACUAACUAGGAUUCCCUCAGUAACGGCGAGUGAAGCGGGAAGAGCUCAAAUUUGAAAUCUUCAAGGUUUUACCUUGACGAAUUGUAGUUUAAAGAAGUGUUUUCUGUUGGAGUUUUGGUAAAAGUUCUUUGGAAUAGGACAUCAUAGAGGGUGAGAAUCCCGUAUUUGACCAUUACUUCCAGCUUUGUGAUACACUUUCAAAGAGUCGGAUUGUUUGGGAAUGCAGUCCAAAAUGGGUGGUAAAUUUCAUCUAAGCUAAAUAUUGGCGAGAGACCGAUAGCGAACAAGUACCGUGAGGGAAAGAUGAAAAGAACUUUGAAAAGAGAGUUAAACAGUACGUGAAAUUGUCAAAAGGGAAGCGUUUGACACCAGUGUUGUUUUUCCGAAAAUCAAUUAAAAAAAGUUGGAUUUUGUAUUGUUAAGACCUUAUCAGCUUACUGUACUCUUUUCUUGCUUUUUUUAAUGCACUUUUCGUUUAACAAGUCAACAUCAGUUUCUUUUGUUGUAAAAAGGUCAUUGGAAGGUGGCUUUCUUUUCGGAGAAAGUGUUUAUAGCCUUUGACUUCUGCAAUCGGAGAGACUGAGGUCUGCAGCGUAGAUCCUUCGGGGUUAGAUACACUUGUGCUAAGUUGUAGCUUUUCAUAGACAACUUGUUAACUAUGUUUAGUCAUGCGGCUUACUCGCUUGUGCUAUUUUACCUACGCUUAGGAUGUUGAAGAUGUAGCACAUCAU